rnacentral:rRNA from 1 species
UACGAAGGGGGCUAGCGUUGCUCGGAAUCACUGGGCGUAAAGGGUGCGUAGGCGGGUCUUUAAGUCAGGGUGAAAUCCUGGAGCUCAACUCCAGAACUGCCUUUGAUACUGAAGAUCUUGAGUUCGGGAGAGGUGAGUGGAACUGCGAGUGUAGAGGUGAAAUUCGUAGAUAUUCGCAAGAACACCAGUGGCGAAGGCGGCUCACUGGCCCGAUACUGACGCUGAGGCACGAAAGCGUGG